GCGAGCGCUCCCGGUAGCGCUGCGAUCGGCUUUUCGGCAAUACCCGGAUGGAAGCGUAAUGGCCGCCAUCAGGGACUCGCGGGCAAUGGGGACCACGACAGCUGGUGCUAGCAACCCCCAACUCUGGUCUCUGGACCCAGCUCAAAGCUCUGGAUUUGUUCUCUUCCCAUACCUCAGCCUGAGCCUUCUGUCACCUCAAAGGGCUUUCACACAAGCUUCCUCUCAAGGCUUCACUUCUCUCCCAAGGUGAGUUAAUGUGGGAAAAAUCCUGGUAUUUUGAAGAUGUCUUGGCGCAGUAUUGUUUCCUGUUCAAAUUACAAGUAACUUCAAGAGUUUUCAGGAAAAAAAGAAAUUGGGAUUUUUUGGUUAAAUCAUGCCAUCUGAACAGAAACAUUUAUUUUUUGAUGAUAAGCAGA
rnacentral:lncRNA from 1 species